GGUUAAGCGACUAAGCGUACACGGUGGAUGCCCUGGCAGUCAGAGGCGAUGAAGGACGUGCUAAUCUGCGAAAAGCGUCGGUAAGGUGAUAUGAACCGUUAUAGCCGGCGAUGUCCGAAUGGGGAAACCCAGUGCAAUUCGUUGCACUAUCGUUAACUGAAUACAUAGGUUAACGAGGCGAACCGGGGGAACUGAAACAUCUAAGUACCCCGAGGAAAAGAAAUCAACCGAGAUUCCCCCAGUAGCGGCGAGCGAACGGGGAGCAGCCCAGAGUCUGAAUCAGCUUGUGUGUUAGUGGAACGGUCUGGAAAGUCCGACGGUACAGGGUGAUAGUCCCGUACACCAAAAUGCACAGGUUGUGAACUCGAAGAGUAGGGCGGGACACGUGGUAUCCUGUCUGAAUAUGGGGGGACCAUCCUCCAAGGCUAAAUACUCCUGACUGACCGAUAGUGAACCAGUACCGUGAGGGAAAGGCGAAAAGAACCCCGGCGAGGGGAGUGAAAAAGAACCUGAAACCGUGUACGUACAAGCAGUGGGAGCACCUUCGGGUGUGACUGCGUACCUUUUGUAUAAUGGGUCAGCGACUUAUAUUCUGUAGCAAGGUUAACCGUAUAGGGGAGCCGCAGGGAAACCGAGUCUUAACUGGGCGUUAAGUUGCAGGGUAUAGACCCGAAACCCGGUGAUCUAGCCAUGGGCAGGUUGAAGGUUGGGUAACACUAACUGGAGGACCGAACCGACUAAUGUUGAAAAAUUAGCGGAUGACUUGUGGCUGGGGGUGAAAGGCCAAUCAAACCGGGAGAUAGCUGGUUCUCCCCGAAAGCUAUUUAGGUAGCGCCUCGUGAAUUCAUCUUCGGGGGUAGAGCACUGUUUCGGCUAGGGGGUCAUCCCGACUUACCAACCCGAUGCAAACUACGAAUACCGAAGAAUGUUAUCACGGGAGACACACGGCGGGUGCUAACGUCCGUCGUGAAGAGGGAAACAACCCAGACCGCCAGCUAAGGUCCCAAAGUCAUGGUUAAGUGGGAAACGAUGUGGGAAGGCACAGACAGCCAGGAUGUUGGCUUAGAAGCAGCCAUCAUUUAAAGAAAGCGUAAUAGCUCACUGGUCGAGUCGGCCUGCGCGGAAGAUGUAACGGGGCUAAACCAUGCACCGAAGCUGCGGCAGCGACACUAUGUGUUGUUGGGUAGGGGAGCGUUCUGUAAGCCUGCGAAGGUGGCCUGUGAGGGUUGCUGGAGGUAUCAGAAGUGCGAAUGCUGACAUAAGUAACGAUAAAGCGGGUGAAAAGCCCGCUCGCCGGAAGACCAAGGGUUCCUGUCCAACGUUAAUCGGGGCAGGGUGAGUCGACCCCUAAGGCGAGGCCGAAAGGCGUAGUCGAUGGGAAACAGGUUAAUAUUCCUGUACUUGGUGUUACUGCGAAGGGGGGACGGAGAAGGCUAUGUUAGCCGGGCGACGGUUGUCCCGGUUUAAGCAUGUAGGCUGGUUAUCCAGGCAAAUCCGGAUAAUCAAGGCUGAGGUGUGAUGACGAAGCACUACGGUGCUGAAGUAACAAAUGCCCUGCUUCCAGGAAAAGCCUCUAAGCAUCAGGUAACAUCAAAUCGUACCCCAAACCGACACAGGUGGUCAGGUAGAGAAUACCAAGGCGCUUGAGAGAACUCGGGUGAAGGAACUAGGCAAAAUGGUGCCGUAACUUCGGGAGAAGGCACGCUGGUGUGUAGGUGAAGCCCCUGCGGGUGGAGCUGAGACCAGUCGAAGAUACCAGCUGGCUGCAACUGUUUAUUAAAAACACAGCACUGUGCAAACACGAAAGUGGACGUAUACGGUGUGACGCCUGCCCGGUGCCGGAAGGUUAAUUGAUGGGGUUAUCCGUAAGGAGAAGCUCUUGAUCGAAGCCCCGGUAAACGGCGGCCGUAACUAUAACGGUCCUAAGGUAGCGAAAUUCCUUGUCGGGUAAGUUCCGACCUGCACGAAUGGCGUAAUGAUGGCCAGGCUGUCUCCACCCGAGACUCAGUGAAAUUGAACUCGCUGUGAAGAUGCAGUGUACCCGCGGCAAGACGGAAAGACCCCGUGAACCUUUACUAUAGCUUGACACUGAACAUUGAGCCUUGAUGUGUAGGAUAGGUGGGAGGCUUUGAAGCGUGGACGCCAGUCUGCGUGGAGCCAACCUUGAAAUACCACCCUUUAAUGUUUGAUGUUCUAACGUUGGCCCCUGACCGGGGUUGCGGACAGUGUCUGGUGGGUAGUUUGACUGGGGCGGUCUCCUCCCAAAGCGUAACGGAGGAGCACGAAGGUUAGCUAAUCCUGGUCGGACAUCAGGAGGUUAGUGCAAUGGCAUAAGCUAGCUUGACUGCGAGCGUGACGGCGCGAGCAGGUGCGAAAGCAGGUCAUAGUGAUCCGGUGGUUCUGAAUGGAAGGGCCAUCGCUCAACGGAUAAAAGGUACUCCGGGGAUAACAGGCUGAUACCGCCCAAGAGUUCAUAUCGACGGCGGUGUUUGGCACCUCGAUGUCGGCUCAUCACAUCCUGGGGCUGAAGUAGGUCCCAAGGGUAUGGCUGUUCGCCAUUUAAAGUGGUACGCGAGCUGGGUUUAGAACGUCGUGAGACAGUUCGGUCCCUAUCUGCCGUGGGCGCUGGAGAAUUGAGGGGGGCUGCUCCUAGUACGAGAGGACCGGAGUGGACGCAUCACUGGUGUUCGGGUUGUCAUGCCAAUGGCACUGCCCGGUAGCUAAAUGCGGAAGAGAUAAGUGCUGAAAGCAUCUAAGCACGAAACUUGCCCCGAGAUGAGUUCUCCCUGAGACUUUAAGUCUCCUGAAGGAACGUUAAAGACGAUGACGUUGAUAGGCCGGGUGUGUAAGCGCAGCGAUGCGUUGAGCUAACCGGUACUAAUGAACCGUGAGGCUUAACCUU
rnacentral:rRNA from 1 species